rnacentral:rRNA from 1 species
ACGGCCGCAAGGUUAAAACUCAAAUGAAUUGACGGGGGCCCGCACAAGCGGUGGAGCAUGUGGUUUAAUUCGAUGCAACGCGAAGAACCUUACCUGGUCUUGACAUCCACGGAAGUUUUCAGAGAUGAGAAUGUGCCUUCGGGAACCGUGAGACAGGUGCUGCAUGGCUGUCGUCAGCUCGUGUUGUGAAAUGUUGGGUUAAGUCCCGCAACGAGCGCAACCCUUAUCCUUUGUUGCCAGCGGUCCGGCCGGGAACUCAAAGGAGACUGCCAGUGAUAAACUGGAGGAAGGUGGGGAUGACGUCAAGUCAUCAUGGCCCUUACGACCAGGGCUACACACGUGCUACAAUGGCGCAUACAAAGAGAAGCGACCUCGCGAGAGCAAGCGGACCUCAUAAAGUGCGUCGUAGUCCGGAUUGGAGUCUGCAACUCGACUCCAUGAAGUCGGAAUCGCUAGUAAUCGUGGAUCAGAAUGCCACGGUGAAUACGUUCCCGGGCCUUGUACACACCGCCCGUCACACCAUGGGAGUGGGUUGCAAAAGAAGUA